UGAAUGCGGCUGUUAAGACCUGCAAUAAUCCAGAAUGGCUACUCUGAUCUAUGUUGAUAAGGAAAAUGGAGAACCAGGCACCCGUGUGGUUGCUAAGGAUGGGCUGAAGCUGGGGUCUGGACCUUACUUUUUCUUCAGCAAUCAAAGCCUUAGAUGGGAGAUCUCAAGUUUCAACACCACGUUUUGGCAAAACGUUCGAUGCCCCACCAGCCUUACCUAAAGCUACUAGAAAGGCUUUGGGAACUGUCAACAGAGCUACAGAAAAGUCUGUAAAGACCAAGGGACCCCUCAAACAAAAACAGCCAAGCUUUUCUGCCAAAAAGAUGACUGAGAAGACUGUUAAAGCAAAAAGCUCUGUUCCUGCCUCAGAUGAUGCCUAUC
rnacentral:lncRNA from 1 species